rnacentral:tRNA from 1 species
UAGCCUAGUGGUUAAGGCUACGGAUCGCCAAUCCGAAGACAACGGGUUCGAUGCUCGU